AGUCAAAUCCAGACGCAGGAAGCAGAAGGCUGGCUGCAAGGACUGUCAGGAAAACAGGCUGACCUCUGAAGACAGGGCCUUCCUGUGUGUUCCUGAUGAAAGCCUGUAGCUCUCCUGCCUCCAUCCUCGGGUGCUCUGAUGACUACAGGAGGCUGUCUGAAUAAAAUGGAAACUGGAACAGAGAAAGCCCUGUCCUCGUGGAACUUACCAUCUGGUGCAGCCAAAACAGACAGCAGUAAAUACAAUCCCUGCGGUAAGCAUACAGAGGUAAGUAUGUGGGGCCCGAGAAGACUCAUCCUAGAAGGCCUAGAGGCUUUCCUGAGAACGCCCUACCAUCAGCUGGAGAGUACAGAAACACAGAACCUGGGGAAGACAGGAUCUGAGCACUGCUGCUGGUACCUGAAGAUCUGCCGCCUAUGACAGCAGAGGUGAUAUCUAGCUUUCAGGCCUCUUCUCAAUUAGUCAAUGUCACACACUCCUGCUUGGCUCUGAUCCACCCUGCACAAUGAAUGCUUCCUACAUGGGCCCAUGGGAUAAAAUAUUAGUGCAUGUAGUGUGUGUGUAUAUAUGUUUAUAUGUGUAUAUAUCUGUGUAUGUGUGUCUGUGUGUAUCUAUGUGUGCCUUGUGUGUCUUUGUGUAUAUAUGUAUGCAUAUCUGUGUGUGUAUCUUUGUGCGUGUGUGUGUGUGUGUGUGUGUAUGUAUGUAUGUAUGUAUGUAUGUAUGUAGAGGAAUGAGUAAAACUGUGUCAACAGGGUUCUUAUACAGAAAUAUUCUGGACCUUUCAAAUGCUAAUAUCAGUAUGACUAACCAAACUUCCCAAACUAGUUUUCAGGAAACUAGCAUUCUUCUACAAAUCUGCCCUCUAGGGAACCUGGCUCUAGAUCCUUCCCUGUCCUCCAGGCUCAGCGCUAAUUCGGUCCAUUAGGGAUGCAGGCCCAAUUGUUUAGACAGUGUCUGCCACUGAAAAGCUCCUCUUCCGUGAAGUGAGUGACUGGGCUGGAUGUCGCUUUGCUUCAGUGUUUACCUAGUAUGCUCAAGACUCAGCUCCUAGCUCAGAAAAUGAAGGAGGAGGGACCAGAAGACUGGCUCGUGUGGCAUGUAACUGACUGAAGACCACUGAAAACUCCCUGGGGAAAGACCAUUUCACAGGGAGCAGUCAUACAGUAGCUCAGAGGUCAAUUUGUUAUCCAGAAGUGCUAUCAUUCUCCCAAGAACAGUGAACUGCUUGGAACUUCAUAAAAACCUGCGGGGCAUCUAUCAGCUCAGACCUCCCGGCACAGACUCUGGGGUCCGAGGAAAGAUCGGUAUUUGGUCCUGACUGACACGCGUUGAGUGCCCUCAAUCGCAAGGCAUGGCAAAUGCUUGCUUUGGGACUUCUCCUUACUAAAUGAUGACCAGAGACCACAAAGGACCACAGAGAUGAGCCGCUGUACUUUAAAAUGUUGGCCGGCGAGAAUGUAAGGAGUGGGACUACUUGAGAGCCUAGCAGCCUGGCUAGACAUGAGCACACACUGUGCUGACAUCUGGAGAAGAACCAUCACAGAUGCGAUGAGACAGGAGGGUAGGGAGAGUCAGAAUCUGAGGGAGGCCGGAGCUCAGGUCAAUAUUUUGACUAGCAUACAUGAGUGUGGUAAGUGCAGAAAUGGGACUCGGAGAUCACCAGACUCUCUACUUCAUGCCACCCUUCCCCCAACUCAGUCUACAUAGAGACCCUCGUGCCAAGGCUGCAUUUUUACAUUAUUCUCACCCUCAUCUACUUAGUUUUACACUCAAGAUAUCCACCCUGAUAAAUCAUAACUUGUUGCUAUAGAAAACUUGGAUCCAUGAAAGGGAAAGAUUUAAUGCUAUGCCUAACCCUUUUCUUACAUAAAAACAAAACAAAACAAAAAAAGUGACUUGUUCUGCCAUAUUUCUUCUUAGAAAUGAAAACAUUUGUUAAGGUUUCCUUGGCCACGAAGGGAAGAAAACUGUGUUUACCCUGUGUUUAAUCCCUAGAGACUCAAUGUCCAAUGCUGCCAAGAAAGGCCCCCAAACUUCCUGUCUCAGCAGUUGCAAUCCUAUGAAAGUAAAGCCAGCUCUCCUGUCCAAAUGCGCCCACUGCUUUUUGAAUGUGUAUGCUUUACCAGGUUGUCAUAAAUAAACCGUGUCUUGAUUUAGGGCUCAUCAGCUAUUCCAGGAUCUAGGCAGUCUCAACAUUCCCCUGAGGCAGCAGUUGUGGGAGGAAAAAAAAAAAUGUUAGCAUGAGUGCCACUUACCGGUCCCAAAGCUCUCCUCUCCACAGAGGGACAGCUUGCUUGCAUCCAUCAAAUUCCCAAAAAACUUCCAGCCAGUUGGGGUCUCAUACAAAGCGAUCUUUGUGGCAUUUGCUACCCUUCAAAGGCAUGAAAUCAAAGUUACAUCACAGCAGGACGGCGACCGGGACCAUGUGAGGAUGGAAAAGAUCAACCAUCAUUGUAAGCGAGGGUCCCAUUUAACAUUGCUUAGAGGUCAACACAAUUCUACAACUGGAGGAAAUUAGAAAAGGAAACUUGGACACAAGGGGUUCUUCUGUACGGAUCCAGAGAAACGUGGAGC
rnacentral:lncRNA from 1 species